UGUUGUUUUUAAUGCACCAGUGGAAGAGCAGGCAUACCAGGGUCUAUGAGAGAUUUCUGCUUGAUCUUUGAAGGGCAGAAGAAUAUUAAGUAAGGUAUACCUGCAAAGAUGUUGCUAGGACUAUCAAGCAAUGGCAGGCAAUAGGCUGGGAUGCAUCUCCGUUGCUUUAUGUGAGGAUCAGAGCUACCGUGUUCCCAGAUGGUGCACUUAAGGAAAGAUGCUUCCGGCUGGAACCUGGACAGGAGAGCAGCAGGCUAACCUGAGAGAAAAGGGCAGUGACUUUCCUGAAAUUAAACAGCAGCUUGAUGACACAAGUAGGAACAGUGUUUAAACCAUCUGUUUCAUAUUCUUGUGCCGUGAGAGAUGCCAUGCACCUUUCAGACAGUAUUUCAUCUUGGAAAGUAGCUGUUUCAACAUUGUUUUUGGCUUCUGUCUGAUUUUCUAGACCUGGAAAUUGUGCAGUAACCAAUAUGUUGUGCAGGUGAUACAUGCAAGUCAGGCUGAACAUGCAUUUGAUAAGAAUAGGCUGUCCUUCUUGGAGAUGUUGCCUUUAUACAUCAGGACUGAAUCCUAUUUGGGCUGAAAAUUUUGUUAAAACACUUCAGGUGAAAUCAAAAAAGAAAACUUAUUCCACAUAAAUUAUCUGUUGGGGUAAACUGCAUUUAUAAUUAUUUUUACACCCUCUCUAGCAUAUGUAUGUAUGUAUAGCAUAACUAUACGUAUAUAUUUUUAGAGACUAAAGAAUUCUUUGAAAUAUUUACAGAUCACUAUAGAUUUCAAAGGCUUGUAAUGUCAUGUUAAGGUAAUAUACAAGUGUGCAAGCAAAGAGAAGUUAAAAUCAGACACAUCUCAGACUGAUAGGAUAUGGUUACAAAAGUUCUGUUAUGGUAAAUUUGUAUGUGGUCAAGAGGAUAGAAUAGUAGGCUGGAAACUGGGAGGCCUGUUUUUUCCUUCUAAUCAGCUUGCUUCAUAGUUCAGAAAACUGUUUUAUGGAUUAAAGGCUCUUCUGAGCGAAACCUCCUUUGUACUGUAUAUUUGUCUGCAUAAAUACACAUUAUGUGCUCAUCA